UACGUAGGGGGCAAGCGUUGUCCGGAAUCAUUGGGCGUAAAGAGCUCGUAGGCGGUUUGUUGCGUCGGCUGUGAAAUCCCGAGGCUCAACCUCGGGUCUGCAGUCGAUACGAGCAAACUAGAGUGUUGCAGGGGAGACUGGAAUUCCUGGUGUAGCGGUGAAAUGCGCAGAUAUCAGGAGGAACACCGGUGGCGAAGGCGGGUCUCUGGGCAACAACUGACGCUGGAGGAGCGAAAGCGUGGGGAGCGAACAGG
rnacentral:rRNA from 1 species